GUGUCAUAAGAAAGACUGGUUGCAGGACAAGUGUCUGGAGAAAGCAUUAUUUGUAAUGCAAGUCUGGGAGAAGAGAAUAAUAGCCAAUGUGGAAAAGACAUAAAUCACCAUCUGGUUCCUCCUUUCAGAUUCCUCAUGGAAAAAAAGACUAAAGCUUCCAGAGGAACGGCAACAAAAACGAUCAUCCUUGGACCAUAGAUAAAAACCCAUUAAGGCUAAAGGAAGAGAACCUGAAAAACACCCUCUACUCCUGAGAUAAGGGCAGAAAUACAUUUUGAGCCCACGUCGUAAGAGUUUCCUACAGCUUGAUGAGGGACAGGAUCACUGAAAAGUCCCCAUUCCUGAGAACCAGGUGCAACUUUACUGUUGGGAAAUUCAACCACCAAAUCAUUCAGAAAUUUAAAUGAGGUUAAUGCUUGCAUGUCUACCUCUUUGUAGAACACAACUCCUGAUUUUUCGUCUCUACACCGGAAGAACAAAACGAAAUUCAAAUCUCCUAACCUAGAUUCAAUGAACAUGCUUCUAAGAAGCUACUCCAUUUUGGAAGAACAACAGAUAUUAUCACCACUGAAAGAAAAGAUCGUUUGGAUUUGACCGAACGUUCUGUGUCUCAAUACCCAUCAUAAGGGGAAGAAGAUUCUACUACAGCUACAAAAUUCAGCCUUUGGGGUGCUGCUUUGUUGGAGGUUAUACCAAGAUACUCACUCAUUUCCUGGAAGGAUCCCUAAAUACAGAAAGCUAGACGGCUUUUAAGUUUUUCUAAACUCGGUAGAUUAAACAGCCACUCAACUGAUUCUUUGGAGCAGCUAUUAUGGAAAUUAAAAUGCCCUUUUAAAAACCAGAUAAGUCCCUACUAGAGCUACGUUUCAUCCCCUAUGCCAUCUUGCUUCUCUAUGCAUACACACACACACACACACACACAAAAGAAGCUUAUGGAUAAUGUUCAUUGCACUGGGAAUAUCCAAAGCAAUGAAUGGCUUUUAGAGUUGAUUAAAUGCUAAAGUGAAGCUUUUUGAUAACCAUGAGAGCUGACUAUUGUAAGUGUACUCCAGUGUCAUGAAUAUUACUGCUAAUACAUGAUAAGAUUUUUAAGGACAUAAUAAAGUGUAAUAAAGAAUAGAUCACUUUCUUCCCUUUUGAGGUCUGGAAAGAGCUAUCUUCUUUUCCUUGGGCCUUUACGAUUGAUGGCAAAAGGGAAGUCCUUUUAAAGUGAGUGACUUGGUCAGGGAGGUUACAUAAUGAGAUUAAUAGCUUAAAGGAAUGGACUGUGUAACAGGCCGUGAUGAGAUUAAAGAUAUUUUAAUAUCAAAAAGGGCUUUGUGGCUUGUUAAAGAGAAUACAAUUUAGCAUUUGAGUGCUGAGACUGACAGAAACUUUUGUUGAUUAAUAAGAAUGUAUGCCUCUUGCUGUACAUUACUUAGCCGGGGAAAUUGUGAGAACAGUACUUUAUAGUACUGACAGUGCACUAAAAUAAAAAUGCAAUAACUAGAAGGUGGAGUUAUUAGAGUGAAAUGAACUAUUGCACUUUGAACAAAUGUUUCAAAUUAUAUUUCAGUUAUUUGGUUCUUUAAAAAUUCAACUGCAUUUAUUAAAAAGUUAAUUCUAUAUAUUUAAACAAAUAUGUAUUGAAAGAUAUUGGGUUUACAAUAGCAAUGGGUUAUUUUUAAAAAUUGGGUAAUAAGCUA
rnacentral:lncRNA from 1 species